rnacentral:tRNA from 1 species
CGGAGUGUAGCGCAGUCCGGUAGCGCAACUGCUUUGGGAGCAGAAGGUCCGGGGUUCAAAUCCUCGCACUCCGACCA